rnacentral:rRNA from 1 species
AUGUCUCAACCACCAGUUAUCCCUACUACUGCAACAAAGGAAGGCAAUGUUCACAGGAAAAGAGAGGUUCUAGCAUUGGCAAAGCUGAGAGCCGCAGCUGAGAAAAGAGAAGUUGCAGACCUAGCAAAGUUUGAAGCAGCAAUGGCAAAGUUGAAAGAAGAAGAGGACAAAAUUAAGCUUGCAGCUCAAAAGAGAAAGGAAGAGCUGGAAGCUAAGAAACAAGCAGCUGAGGAAAAGAAAAAAACUAUACUAGAGGAAAAGAGACUUGUUGCAGAAGAGAAGAGAAGAGCUACUGAGGAAAAAAAGAAAAAAGCCCAAGAGGAGAAACUUGAAAUGGCAGAGAAGAAAAGGCAAAUGAUGGAUGAGAGAAAAAGAAAUGCAGAGAUAGAAAAACAAAAGAAGGCCGAGGAGAAGAGAAGGAUUGCAGAGGAGAAGAAAAUGAUUGCAAAUACAAAAUACCAGCAGGAGGAGGCAGCUUUUCUAAUACAUCAAGCAGAGGAGUUUGAGAGGCAGGAGAGUUGGAGAAAAUUUAAGGAGGCUGAGGAGGCUGCAAGGCAAAAUGCUUGGGAGCAGCAGAACAAUCAACAAGACACAACAAGGAAUGAAGAAUGGGAGCUGAGAAAGAGGAGAGCUGAAGAAACAAACAAGAAAGCCAUGGAUGACCAAAUGGCAGAUCAAGUAAGGAAGCAAGCCGUGUUGGAGGAACAAAUGAAAGAAAGAGCUGCAGGAACUAGUUCAAGGAUCGAGGAGGCAAGAUUUAAUCCUUGUGUUGUUCAAGGAAACAAGACAAAGAAAAAAACUGCACCUACCAAUCAGAACAUGACAUGUUUUAAGAAACCUAGAAAGGUUAACAUGUUCGACGAAUUUAGGUAA